rnacentral:rRNA from 1 species
UGGGGAAUUUUGGACAAUGGGGGAAACCCUGAUCCAGCCAUCCCGCGUGUGCGAUGAAGGCCUUCGGGUUGUAAAGCACUUUUGGCAGGAAAGAAACGUCAUGGGUUAAUACCCCGUGAAACUGACGGUACCUGCAGAAUAAGCACCGGCUAACUACGUGCCAGCAGCCGCGGUAAUACGUAGGGUGCAAGCGUUAAUCGGAAUUACUGGGCGUAAAGCGUGCGCAGGCGGUUCGGAAAGAAAGAUGUGAAAUCCCAGAGCUCAACUUUGGAACUGCAUUUUUAACUACCGGGCUAGAGUGUGUCAGAGGGGGGUGGAAUUCCGGGUGUCGCAGUGAGAUGCGUAGAUGUGCGGAGGAACACCGAUGGCGAAGGCAGCCUCCUGGGAUAACACUGACGCUCAUGCACGAAAGCGUGGGGAGCAAACAGG